rnacentral:rRNA from 1 species
UACGUAGGGGGCUAGCGUUGUCCGGAAUUACUGGGCGUAAAGCGCGUGUAGGCGGCCAUCUAAGUCGGGCGUGAAAUCCCACGGCUCAACCGUGGAAGUGCACUCGAAACUGGAUGGCUAGAGUCUUGGAGAGGAAGGUGGAAUGCUUGGUGUAGCGGUGAAAUGCGCAGAUAUCAGGAGGAACACCAAUGGCGAAGGCAGCUCGCUGGAACGGUACUGACGCUGAGGCGCGAAAGCGUGGGGGAGCGAACAGG